UAAUAGCGUAUAUUAAAGUUGUUGCAGUUAAAAAGCUCGUAGUCGGAUGUCGGGCUCGGGCAGGAUGUCGGCUUCGGUCGGACGUCCAGCUCGGGUCUUUCUGCCUGAGGAACCGCGGCAUUAACUUUGUCGUUGGGGACGCAGGCCGUUUACUUUGAAAAAAUUAGAGUGUUCAAAGCAGGCCUACGCUUGAAUACAUUAGCAUGGAAUAAUGGAAUAGGACUUUGGUGCUAUUUUGUUGGUUUAUGGGACCGAAGUAAUGAUUAACAGGGACAGUUGGGGCCGUUUAUAUUUCGUUGUCAGAGGUGAAAUUCUUGGAUUUACGAAAGAUAAACUUCUGCGAAAGCAUUCGGCAAGGAUGUUUUCAUUGA
rnacentral:rRNA from 1 species